rnacentral:rRNA from 1 species
UACAGAGGUGGCAAGCGUUGUUCGGAAUUACUGGGCGUAAAGGGCGCGUAGGCGGCCUGUUAAGUCGAACGUGAAAUCCCCGGGCUCAACCCGGGAACUGCGUCCGAGACUGGAAGGCUCGAAUCCGGGAGAGGGAUGUGGAAUUCCAGGUGUAGCGGUGAAAUGCGUAGAUAUCUGGAGGAACAUCGGUGGCGAAGGCGGCAUCCUGGACCGGUAUGACGCUGAGGCGCGAAAGCCAGGGGAGCA